UUUAAUAAUUUUUCGAGAAUUUUUUUUAACCAUUUUGAUAGUUCUUGAUAGCUAACCACAAAAUGCUUAGAAAAUUUCACCGCCAUUUUGAAAGUGAUAGUUUCUGUAGACCGGGUCGCGGUUUCCAAGAGGAAACAUAUUUCAACAUUUAUCGGUAAAUAGCGCAAAUCAAAUUCACAAGACGAACUGAACUACUGAAGGUGAGUUUCCGAUAAUGAUAUUAUAAUAAAAUAUUAUACUGGUAAUCAAAAUUUGAACUUUUUCUAGAUUUUUUCCUCCCCAACAGGAUGCCGAAAUCUGAGGGUCCCUCGAUAAUCGGGAGAUCGUUUUCCGGUUGCCCGGAAGAAGCUGAAGCAAGUCGGACUACCAAAAAAAAAACCGACCGUUGUGGAACCCGUAUAUUCCAUCGCAGAUUACACAUUCUGGUCUGGAUUUGCUGCAACAGGAACCUCCUAGCUGAAAUGGUUUGGAAAACUUUCACAACAAGUGAUAAAUUAUCCGAAACACUCCGGAGAUUACUUCUUUCACAACUACUCUACCAUGUGCUAGGCAACACUGGCAGGUUAACCUGAGAAUCGUUCCAGAAACGUACAAUUGAUAUGGCACCAUAUCCACAGGAACGCGUCAAUUGGAAUCGAACGAAACUAUCGUUCCCGAGGACGGAAUUUACAUUGAAACGGAAUUUCAUUGUAGGAAUUCUUUCGGUAGUUGAUCGUUAUGAUCUGCGAACAAUACAUACCACGACUGCUCCUACGGUACUGUCGGUUCAUGUUGCCGAACACCAUCCUACGGAAACGGCAACUGCACAAUUCUUGUGAGGAAUGCUGCAUUCAAGCCACACUACAACGAGACGGAUCUGGACAGUCACCUGCGAAACUUGCACUGCAGAGCUCCAAUGAAUACAAUACGGCCGAUUGUUCAAUCUAUUUGGAAACGGUUCCCCGGCACUGCAUAUGAGAAGCGGCACAUAAUGUCGGAACCGAUUUUCUACUUCUUUCUUCGUAUUCCCAGUUUCGGCAGAACAUUAAUUGUUAAGAUUGAAACUUUUUGUAAACCUAUUACAAUAUAUUCUCUGUAAAAUAUG